rnacentral:ncRNA from 1 species
AAAGGAAGUAUUUUGCCUUAGACAGGUAGGAGGUUGGCUUAGAAGCAGCCACCCUUUAAAGAGUGCGUAAUAGCUCACUACUCGACGUUGUCGCAAGAUGACGAGGCAAGAUGCGCCGAAAAUGUAACGGGGCUAAGCAUAAUACCGAAAUUGUGAGUGCGCACAGCGCACAAGUUGAAAGUUAAAAGUUCAUCAAGUUCAUAAAGUAAUCCGCCAGUUGGCGGACAAAAAACUUUAUAACUUUAAAACUUUAUAAACUUGUAACUUGCGCGCUGUGCGCGCGGUAGGAGAGCAUUUUCAAUGCAGUGAAGGUACACUGUGAAGUGUACUGGAGCGUUGAGAAGGGAGAAUGUUGGGAUGAGUAACCGCAAGAUCGGUGAAAGACCGAUCCGCCGAAAGCCUGAGGUUUCCUCCGCGAUGGUAAUCAUCGGAGGGUUAGGCGUUCCUAAGGAUAACCGUACUUUAGGGUAUGGGAAGCCGAUGGACAGCCGGUUAAUAUUCCGGCCCCGCUUGCACAUUUUAGGGAAUAACGGGUGAUAUAAGAUCGAGCGCAUUAUUGGAUUUGACGUCUUUGCUCCUAGAGCAGUGAUUAGGUAAAUCCGGUCACAGCCGCAAGGCAUGUUCGAAAGCAAAAGAAAUCCGUCGUGAGACGGAAAUUCGAUCGAAGAGUGCUCCAAGAAAAGUUUCUAAAUUUAAUGUGUAAGCGUACGUACCGCAAAACCGACACAGGUAGGCUGGUAUAAGUGUACCGAGGCGAACGGGUGAUUAUUGGCUAAGGAACUCGGCAAAAAAGCGGCCGUAAGUUCGCGAUAAGGCCUGCCCAGACUAAUCUCUGGGCCGCAGCUAAAGAACCCCUGGCGACUGUUUAUCAAAAACACAACUCUGUGCAAAGCCGAAAGGCAACGUAUACAGGGUGACGCUUGUCCGGUGCCGGUACGUUAACGGUGAAGGUGGUGUGCAGCAAUGUACAUUGCUAACGCCCGAAGCGCCGGUGAACGACGGCGAUAACUAUAAUCGUCCAAAGGUAGGAAUAAAGUGCUGCCUUUGUAAAAUUCGACUAUUUGCUGGAAAACCUGUUGUAUCUUGGACUACGUUUACGUAUAAUAAAGGUAUAAUGUUACCUUAGUUACAUGAGACGUGAUAAUGUUUCAGGUGCAGGCAAUCAGCAGGAAAGACUAAAAACUAUCGGGUGGAUAGUGGGAUUUGUUGAUGGUGAAGGAUGUUUCUCUGUAAGUAUAUUUCGCAAUCCAACUGCUAAGACCAAGACUGGUUGGCAAAUUUUUUCUGAAUUUGUCGUAAGUCAAGGAGAAAGCAGCAGAAAAUCUCUUAAUAAAAUCAUGAGAUAUUUCAAAUGCGGAUAUAUUAUAGUGAAUAAACGCAAAGAUAAUCACCAUGAGCAUAUGCUCAAGUAUUGCGUAAGAUCAAUUAACGAUCUGCGUGAAAAAAUUAUUCCAUUUUUUGACAAACACCAGCUGGUAACAAGAAAAAAUAAAGAUUUCAAGAUUUUUAAGAAAAUUGUAAAUCUUAUAUACCAGCAAAAACAUCUGUCGAAAAAUGGCAUGAUCAGAAUAGCUCGGCUUAUCAGUACGAUGAACCGUAAGAAAUAUCCUAAGUUUUUAGAAUCCUCAGAGACUAUACGUCGGAUCCGCCUCAAUAGCGGAAAGAUAUAGUCCGAACUGCAUGGCGACAUGCAGAAUAACAUAAUUAAGCGAAAUUCCUUGUGGGGUAAGUUCCCACGCGCAUGAAUAGCGGAACGACUGGGGGACUGUCUCAGCCAAUAGCCCGGUGAAAAUGCAAUGUCUGUAAAGAUGCAGACUACCCGCACCAAGACGGAAAGACCCCGGAAGCUUCACUGCAGUUUGGUAUUGGUCUACGAGUUGUUAUACGUAGCGUAGUGAGUAGGAUUUGAAGUCACGUUUUCGGAUGUGAUGGAUCCGCCAAUGAAACACUCAUUUUAACGAUUUGUAGCUCUAACCGGCCCCGCCCUCUAGGCUUAUGACAUGAGGGACUGUAAAGUUUCCAAGUAAUAUUGGAGUUUUAUCGUUCCACAAAUUUGUCACAGGCAUAGAGGGCUGGGUCGAGACAGUGCCUGACGGGCAGUUUAAGUGGGGCACUUGCCUCCUAAAAAGUAAUGGAGGCGUUCAUCAAGGUUGGCUAGCUGCGGAUGGAAAUCGCAGCGAUAGCGUAAAGGCAAAAGCCAGCUUAACUGCAAGGCGGAUGUGCCGCGCAGGUGCGAAAGCAUGACUUAGUGAACCGACUCUAAAAGAGAAAUUUGAACAGUAAAAUUUGCUGUUCAAAUUUCUUCGCUCGUAGGAGCGGAGAAGAUCAUCAAAUAAAAGCUACUCCGGGGAUAACAGGCUGGUACCACCCGAGCGUUCAUAGCGACGGUGGUGUUCGGCACCUCGAUGUCGGCUCGCCCUAUCCUGGGACUGAAGAAGGCCCCAAGGGUUUGGCUGUUCGCCAAUUAAAAGGGUACAUAGCGAUAUAUAUUGGAUAGUUAACUAAUUUCGGUGAAAUCCUAAUUUCGCUGUUGCGAGAACGCGGAAACGCGGAUAUUAAUUCUACCUGGAUUAUUAGGACAAUACCGAGGGAAGUUUAGUGAUUUUGUGAAGGGUGGGAAGGAUGACCACUGUCAGUCGCCAAGUGCACUGGCGCAUGGAAGAGAGCCCAACUCACCCUUCCCUUCACAAAAUCACUAAAUGCCCGUAGAGACUGAACGUUAACUCUCUUGAGCGAAGCAAAAGAGAUCCCGAGCGAAUGCGAGGGACCACCGCUUCUUUAAGAAAAAGAUACAGUCCAAUCCACGUAGUAAUACGUGAGAAGUAAUCCCUCGGCCCGAAGGCCUCGGGAUCUUCGAUUCUCAUGACCUAAGGGUCAUUCGAAUCUACGAUGCGUGAGACAGGUUGGUCCAUAUCUGGUGCGGGCGUUGAUACUUGAGGAGGGUUGGUCUUAGUACGAGAGGACCGGACUGAACGAACCUCUGGUGUACGAGCUGUUCUGCCAAGAGCAGCGCUCGGUAGCUAUGUUCGGUUCUGAUAAGCGCUGAAAGCAUAUAAGCGCGAAGCAGGCUCCAAGAUUAAGUAUCUAGGGCUCUCCAAUAUAGUAACUUUCGUAACGAAAUUGACAGAUUUGAGAUGAGGCGAAAAGAAAAUUUUGAGGCAUAGUUUUAACUAUGUCGAAAAAUUUUCUUGAAGCCGCAGUCCAAAUAUGUCGAUUGCAGUAGAAAGGUUAUUGUAUUGGGGAGCCCGAUGAAUCGUUGUAGAUGACGACGUUGAUAGGGCUCAGGUGUAAGCAUAGUAAUGUGUUCAGCCGAGAGCUACUAAUAAUUCAUAGAGUAAUAUCCA